GAUGAAGAACGUAGUGAAAUGCGAUAAUUAAUGUGAAUUGCAGAAUUCCGUGAAUCAUCGAGUCUUUGAACGCACAUUGCGCCUCAUGGCAUUCCGUGAGGCAUGCCCAUCUCAGCGUUAGAAAAUAUUCUCAAAUUUUAGUUUUGUGCUAAAAUUUGGAUCAUGUCAAGGAAGCUAUUACUAUUAUUGUGAUCGCUCUUUGGAAAUUGAUAGGUCUUUGAGUUGCUACUCAUAGAACGUGAUAAAUCUUUCUUCGUUCUAUUGUAAUUCACUCUGGUAGUCCUAAAACUUGUAUGCCUGUGGCAUAUCUUGUAAUUUGACCUGAGAUUGGGUAGGGAUACCCGCUGAACUUAAGCAUAUCAAUAAGCGGAGGA
rnacentral:misc_RNA from 1 species